rnacentral:lncRNA from 1 species
UAAUUAUAUUAAGUAUAUUAAAACCACUUAUAUUAGGAACAAUGUCACCAUUAACUUUAUUUACCUAAUUAUUAGCAAAAUUAUUGUGUUUACUGUAGUUGCAAGCAGACGAUACAACUUUGUCUGAAGCAGUUGAGAUUUGGCAAAGCCUCAUACAUAAUGAAAAAUUGGCUUUGUACAAAGAUGAUAUUUUAAAGAGGUUCAAGAAGGCAACUGUUCCAUGUCAUUUUCUUGCCAAUUUAACAGAUCCAAAAUAUGAAGGAAGAACAUUGGAUAGAAGUCAAGAAGAAGAAGCUGAGGAAUGGUUGAAUGAAGUCUAUCCUGAAUUUAUGCCAGGCUAUUAUGCGUUUAAACUAAAAGAUGCUAAUUGUUUCCCAACAUAUUUAUUCAACAGUGUUAAAAGCACAACAUCAGCAACAAAUUGGUGGAGAAUUAUAGAAAUGAAAGAAUCUAAGUCUUCCAAAUUGCCUGCAAAUUUUGCAAAAUUUUUACGGCAGUUGCACACUUGUCCAGCUAGUACUGGAUUCAUAGAAAGAUUUUUCUCAUCUUUUGGGAUUAUUUGGAGCAAAAUUAGAAAUCGUUUAGGAAGAGAAAAAGCUGAAAUGCUUGUACGAAUUUACAGACAUUUAAGAUCAAGAUGCACAAUUGCUGAUGACUUUUAGAUUACUUUGUUUUAAAUGAUUAAGCUUGAAUAUUAUUGCUCCAAGUAAAAUAAAAUUCUUGUUUAUGA